rnacentral:rRNA from 1 species
UACAGAGGUCUCAAGCGUUGUUCGGAUUCAUUGGGCGUAAAGGGUGCGUAGGCGGCGCGGUAAGUCGGGUGUGAAAUCUCGGGGCUUAACUCCGAAACUGCAUUCGAUACUGCCGGUGCUUGAGGACUGGAGAGGAGACUGGAAUUCAUGGUGUAGCAGUGAAAUGCGUAGAGAUCAUGAGGAAGACCAGUGGCGAAGGCGGGUCUCUGGACAGUUCCUGACACUGAGGCACGAAGGCCAGGGGAGCAAACGGG